rnacentral:tRNA from 1 species
GCUGACAUAGCUCAGGGGUAGAGCACUUCAUUGGUAAUGAAGAGGUCGGGAGUUCAAAUCUCCUUGUCAGCU